GUUUAUAUUCUGGGACAGUUUCCCAAGAGGUGCAGAGUUUUUGCUGUGAGUAGGGGUUUUGUUGCACGUGCAAUUCAGGUUCAUUUGGUAGAGAUACGAUGUCUCAGAGCAAAGGGCUGGUGGUCCUUGCCUACAGCGGGGGGCUGGAUACUUCGUGCAUCCUGGUUUGGCUGAAGGAGCAAGGCUAUGAUGUCAUCGCUUACCUGGCCAAUAUUGGACAAGAUGAGAACUUUGAAGAAGCAAGAAAGAAAGCCCUCUCCCUUGGAGCCAAAAAGGUUUACAUUGAAGAUAUUAGCCAAGAGUUUGUGGAAGAAUUUAUCUGGCCAGCAGUCCAAGCCAAUGCCAUCUACGAAGAUCGUUACCUUCUUGGCACUGCCCUGGCCAGACCCUGCAUUGCCCGGAAGCAGAUGGAAAUAGCCCAGAAGGAAGGAGCCCAGUAUGUUUCCCAUGGAGCCACAGGAAAGGGUAAUGACCAGAUUCGAUUUGAGCUCACUUAUUAUGCUCUUUGCCCUAAGAUCAAGGUCAUUGCUCCUUGGCGAUUGCCAGAAUUCUACAGCCGCUUCCGAGGGCGGAGUGAUCUGAUGGAAUUUGCAAAGAAACACGGCAUUCCGGUCCCAGUGACACCCUCCAAUCCCUGGAGUAUGGAUGAAAACCUUAUGCAUAUCAGCUACGAGGCUGGGAUUUUGGAGAACCCCAAGAACCAAGCUCCUCCUGGCCUCUAUACAAAGACAAGCGACCCUGUUGUGGCUCCUGACACUCCUGACAUCUUAGAGAUUGAAUUCAAGAAGGGUGUCCCUAUCAAGGUCACCAAUGUCAGCGAAGCGACCACUCGCCAGUCGGCCCUUGAGCUCUUCCUUUACCUGAACGAAAUUGCAGGCAAGCAUGGAGUCGGGCGCAUUGACAUAGUGGAAAACCGGUUUAUUGGGAUGAAGUCUAGAGGUAUCUACGAGACCCCAGCAGGGACGAUCCUCUACCACGCUCAUUUAGACAUUGAGGCCUUCACUAUGGACCGGGAAGUACGGCGAGUCAAGCAGGGCCUCGCCUUGAAAUUCGCAGAACUGGUGUACAAUGGAUUCUGGUACAGCCCAGAGUGUGUCUAUAUCCGCCGCUGCAUUGCCCAGUCCCAGGACUUUGUAGAUGGGAAGGUGCGGGUCUCUGUCUUCAAGGGCCAAGUCUACAUUUUGAACAGGGAGUCCUGCCGUUCUCUGUACAACGAGGAGCUUGUAAGCAUGGAUGUCCAGGGGAAUUACGAGCCGUCGGAUGCCACAGGAUUCAUCAAUAUCAACUCCCUUAGGCUGAAAGAAUAUCAUCGACUCCAAGGCAAGGUCAACUCCGCUCAGAACUAAUGGCAAUCAAUGUGUUGCAGGCUCGUCCCCUCCGCAAGGACAAACAAAGUCUUCCCAUUGGGCUAUGUGAGAACAGAUAUGUGUGAAAUACUGCUGAUUGCAUUCGCAUUGAAAUACAUGGAAGGUAACUACCAGACAAUGCUCACAAACAACUGAAGUGCUUGGUGAAAAAUUGGCUCUCUGCUGGCAUCUGCAGCAAGAGUACUUUAUGUACAAAAGUGGACAACUACAACAUUGCCUACAGUGGAGGAAUGGUUGACAAAAGUUUUGGAGUUUGCGUUAAUGGCAAAACUUACUGCAUUAAUUAGAGAAAGGACAUUAGUUAACUUCUUGAUUGAAUGGAAACCGCUAAUAGACUUUUUGCAUGAAAUGGGUAACAAGGAUUUGAUGACAUCUGGAUUUAUGGAUUAAGAAACAGGAACAAUAGAAAAAAGAGGGGGUUUGUGACUAACUUAGAAUAAGUGGGACUCCAGAAAUGAUAUAUACUUGUGUGGAGAAAAUCGGAAUUCAACUUGUAGUGUAAUUUAGGGGUUUUUUGUUUUCUUUUUUCUUUUCCUCUUAAUUUUAUACAUAUAUGUAUUGUUAGUGUGUUAUGUUUAGAACUGUGUGUUUUUUCUUGUUCUCUAUGUGUGUUGUUUAUUUUGUUGUGGUGUGUAGUUUAUAGUUUAAAUAAAGAAAAU